GACGAACGCUGGCGGCGUGCUUAACACAUGCAAGUCGAACGGAAAGGCCCUGCUUUUGUGGGGUGCUCGAGUGGCGAACGGGUGAGUAACACGUGAGUAACCUGCCCUUGACUUUGGGAUAACUUCAGGAAACUGGGGCUAAUACCGGAUAGGAGCUCCUGCUGCAUGGUGGGGGUUGGAAAGUUUCGGCGGUUGGGGAGGGACUCGCGGCUUUUCAGCUUGUUGGUGGGGUAGUGGCUUACCAAGGCUUUGAGGGGUAGCCGGCCUGAGGGGGUGACCGGCAAAAUGGGGAUGAGAAUACGGCCCGGACUCCUACGGGAGGAAGCAGUGGGGAAUAUUGCACAAUGGGCGGAAGCCUGAUGCAGCAACGCCGCGUGCGGGAUGACGGCCUUCGGGUUGUAAACCGCUUUCGCCUGUGACGAAGUGUGAGUGACGGUAAUGGGUAAAGAAGCACCGGCUAACUACGUG
rnacentral:rRNA from 1 species